CCUACGGGAGGCAGCAGUGGGGAAUAUUGCACAAUGGGGGAAACCCUGAUGCAGCGACGCCGCGUGAGUGAAGAAGUCAUUCGUUAUGUAAAGCUCUAUCAGCAGGGAAGAAAAUGACGGUACCUGAGUAAGGAGCACCAGCUAACUACGGGCCAGCAGCCGCGGUAAUACGUAAGGGGCAAGCGUUAUCCGGAUUUACUGGGUGUUAAGGGAGCGUAGACGGCAGUGCAAGUCUGGAGUGAAUGGUGGGGGGUCAAACCCCGUACUGCUAAGGAAACUGUACGGCUGGAGUGCAGGAGAGGUAAGUGGAAUUCCUAGUGUAGCGGUGAAAUGCGUAGAUAUUAGGAGGAACACCAGUGGCGAAGGCGGCUUACUGGACUGUAACUGACGUUGAGGCUCGAAAGCGUGGGGAGCAAACAGGAUUAGAUACCCGUGUAGUC
rnacentral:rRNA from 1 species